rnacentral:rRNA from 1 species
AACGAACGCUGGCGGCAUGCUUAACACAUGCAAGUCGAACGGAUAGCUUGCUAUCAGUGGCGCACGGGUGAGUAACACGUGGGAACCUACCUUUUAGUUUGGGAUAACUUUGGGAAACUAAGGCUAAUACCGGAUACGCUUUGCAGCUUGGCGCUGUAAAGGAAAGAUUUAUCGCUAAAAAGAUGGGCCCGCGGUGGAUUAGCUUGUUGGUGGGGUAAAGGCUUACCAAGGCAACGAUCCAUAGCUGGUCUGAGAGGAUGAUCAGCCACACUGGGACUGAGAUACGGCCCAGACUCCUACGGGAGGCAGCAGUGGGGAAUAUUGGACAAUGGGCGAAAGCCUGAUCCAGCAAUGCCGCGUGAGUGAAGAAGGUCUUCGGAUUGUAAAGCUCUUUCACGGGUGAAGAUAAUGACGGUAACCCGAGAAGAAGCCCGCUAACUUCGUG